UACGUAGGUCCCGAGCGUUGUCCGGAUUCACUGGGUGUAAAGGGAGCGUAGACGGCCAAGCAAGCCAGGGGUGAAAGCCCGGGGCCCAACCCCGGGACUGCCCUUGGAACUGCAUGGCUGGAGUGCGGGAGGGGCAGGCGGAAUUCCUGGUGUAGCGGUGAAAUGCGUAGAUAUUAGGAGGAACACCAGUGGCGAAGGCGGUCUGCUGGACAGCAACUGACGGUGAGGCUCGAAAGCGUGGGGAGCAAACAGG
rnacentral:rRNA from 1 species